UUACAUAAUUUUUUAAUGUCCCAUCACUAUAAAUUUUAUUUACUUCUUGUACAUCUUUUUUGAUAAUAACAAUUGGUUAAUAUCAGCUUUUAUUAAUCGAUUCCUCGAUAUUUUCAAUUAUCGACUGAUGACGUGAAGCAGGAAUGUAAGGAAUAACCGUUGCAUAUAAUCAGGAUAAUCGAAGGCGGCAAAUACAAUUAAUUAAGCUCGAUUGCGCGCCGUUUCGCUAAGUAACGUUACCUAAUGGGCGAAAUCAUUAGCGGCCCAUGAAACAAAGGUCGACAGGCUCGCUUCCAGCCCUGUUCGAGAUUUGCUAUCCCAUCAUUUAAGACAGAAUGCAUUUAUUUCUAGAAUUAUGUUCAAUUACACUAGAUUUAAAAUUUCAUUGAUAUUUGACUAUAAAUCAUUUAUCUGACUAUCAAACGACAUCAUCAUUAUAUUACUCACUUAAUCAUUCUUGAGAUAGCUCAAAUAAUUAUUUCAGUUCAAUUUAAACAGACUGAAAACUGAUUUUGAUCCGAAAAACUACAUGAAAUCAUAUAACAAACGAUUUAAGUAGAUGAUAAAACAUUUUCUAACUUUUAUUCGUGUUACGCCCCAUCGUUUUGAAAGGUACAUAAAAGUCUUUUACGAUCUUUUUCUUCGGCACGCGCGCUCCAGAAGUCAUUCAACUAUAAUAGGGGCAUCGCUUUCGGGCGACUUUCUUUGGGACAAUCGCGGCUUCGGAUAAUGACAAUACCUAUAAAUCAUGAAUCGAUGUUGACAGUCUUAUGACCUUUCAAGGAUCUUAUUUUCAUGAUUUGGAUUAUGGCGAAAAUAAUCUUUAACUUUUUGAAGACGGGAGUUUUCAACAAAGCCAAGUUUCAUGAAAAUCGAGCGAGCAAUUUACAAAAUUAAAGGGAGCGAAUCAUGCACAAAGAGUUAACUGCCAACGAUUAGAUAAAUCAGCUGUACGAGAAUUUGCUUGGGAAAUUCCGUGGCGUGUAUCCAACCAGAACUCAACCACGAAUUACACGUUCAAAGAGCGAUGGUUGAUUCGAGGAACCUUCCGAAAUUCCGAAACAUCCUGUGAUAUAGAACCUCCGGUUAAUAUCCACCGGGCAUAAUCUCCAUUGAGAAACGUAGAUAUAUUGUGAGAUAGAUGGGAGAUGGCUCAUUUUACUAUCUCCCGAUUUUGUCAUAUCACAUACUUAUAAAUCAAUACGCGUUGUCUAUUUAUCUCACUAUGGAUACACUUCAAUGUCAGUUUUUAAUCUUGAUCGGACACAAUUUCAAUGAGAACACUAAUAGCUGUUGGAGAUUUCAGUAUUUUUAUGUUAUUAUUUGUAUAAGUUUUGUAAGAAACUUAGAUAUUUGGUUAUAGUUACUUAUAAGAAAAAUUGCAUGCUUUGUAAAUUCUGUAUCAAACUUUGAAAGUGAGUUUUUAUAUAAAAUAAUAAAUUUGAAGAUGAUUUUAUAUA